UGAGAUUUUAACACGAAGUGAGUGGCGRACGGGUGAGUAACACGUGGGUAACCUGCCCAGAAGYAGGGGAUAACACCUGGAAACAGAUGCUAAUACCGUAUAACAGAGAAAACCGCCUGGUUUUCUUUUAAAAGAUGGCUCUGCUAUCACUUCUGGAUGGACCCGCGGCGCAUUAGCUAGUUGGUGAGGUAACGGCUCACCAAGGCRAUGAUGCGUAGCCGACCUGAGAGGGUAAUCGGCCACAUUGGGACUGAGACACGGCCCAGACUCCUACGGGAGGCAGCAGUAGGGAAUCUUCCACAAUGGACGCAAGUCUGAUGGAGCAACGCCGCGUGAGUGAAGAAGGGUUUCGGCUCGUAAAGCUCUGUUGUUAAAGAAGAACGUGGGUGAGAGUAACUGUUYACCCAGUGACGGUAUUUAACCAGAAAGCCACGGCUAACUACGUGCCAGCAGCCGCGGUAAUACGUAGGUGGCAAGCGUUAUCCGGAUUUAUUGGGCGUAAAGCGAGCGCAGGCGGUCUUUUAAGUCUAAUGUGAAAGCCUUCGGCUCAACCGAAGAAGUGCAUUGGAAACUGGGA
rnacentral:rRNA from 1 species